GCUUACGGCCAUACCACCUUAGGCACGCCCGAUCUCGUCUGAUCUCGGAAGCUAAGCAGGGUCGGGCCUGGUUAGUACUUGGAUGGGUGACCGGCUGGGAAUACCAGGUGCUGUAAGCA
ensembl:rRNA 5S_rRNA 5S ribosomal RNA